GAGAGAGAGAGAGAGAGAGAGAAUGAGUGAGAGAGACGGAAAUAAUUUGUUUGCGUGUACAAUACGUGCAUUCACAUACAUAGUAACCUCGUUCAAGACUUAGACACCCGCUUCAUGGUGUGGCUGAUGGAACGCGUAGAGGUCUUGAAACCUGCAUGAUGCGGCUCUCAGGCGCCCCACGCUGGACUCAAUCAUACGUGACGUCGUAAAAGCCAAGAACAGAGAAUUUGAGAAGCUGGAGGCUGCUUAUCUCGUUGAUGCACUGUAGAUAGCAACACUGGUGUGCAACUGUAAAUACAUGGGAGUUGUGUGGAGUGCUGAUGGUUGAAUAUCGUAUAAACCUAUGGUUGAGGUAGAAAAUAUAAGGGCCUCUUCCUUUUUUUAUAGCGAAAUGGAAUAUAGUGAUGUCCAGAUGUCGGAAAAUGAGAAGUUAUUAUAGAAAUUCAAGACGAAAGGAAAUAGAUGGUUUAUCUGAUUAAUUAUUCCAUUUGCCUAGACAACCCUGGUUUGCAGUUAUAUUUUGUCUACUAGUAACCCUCUACCCAUGUACAUAGUACUACCCAAAAAGAAUUGAUAAUCUACCCACAUUGCAUUCCAUAUACUGUCUAGAUCACAUGUACUCUAGCUAUACAAAAAGAGUAGAGCUUAUAUUACUAU